GCUUACGGCCAUACCAGCCUGNNUACGCCCGAUCUCGUCCGAUCUCGGAAGCCAAGCAGGGUCAGGCCUGGUUAGUACUUGGAUGGGUGACCGCCUGGGAAUACCAGGUGCUGUAAGCUU
rnacentral:rRNA from 1 species